GAAACAGAACAAAAUCCGAUGAAGGAUAUCAACUAAAAAAAAAAAAAUAAAAAAGAAAGAAGAAGGGGGAGAAAUAAAAAAAGUUUAAGCUACCUUGUUAACCAACAAAAAAAAAAUUAUUUAUAGGGUUUUGAUAUACAAUGUAAGCUCUAGAGCGAAUGGGUUAAUUAAUCCACCUGGGGAGUACGCCGGCAACGGUGAAACCCAAAGGAAUUGACGGGGGCCCGCACAAGCGGAGGAACAUGUGGUUUAAUUCGAUGAUACGCGAGGAACCUUACCCGGGUUUGAACGUAGUCUGACCGGAGUGGAAACACUCUUUCUAGCAAUAGCAGAUUACGAGGUGCUGCAUGGUUGUCGUCAGCUCGUGCCGUGAGGUGUCGGCUUAAGUGCCAUAACGAGCGCAACCCUUAUCACUAGUUACUAACAGGUGAAGCUGAGGACUCUGGUGAGACUGCCAGCGUAAGCUGUGAGGAAGGUGGGGAUGACGUCAAAUCAGCACGGCCCUUACAUCCGGGGCGACACACGUGUUACAAUGGCAUGGACAAAGGGCAGCUACCUGGUGACAGGAUGCUAAUCUCCAAACCAUGUCUCAGUUCGGAUCGGAGUCUGCAACUCGACUCCGUGAAGCUGGAUUCGCUAGUAAUCGCGCAUCAGCCAUGGCGCGGUGAAUACGUUCCCGGGCCUUGUACACACCGCCCGUCAAGCCAUGGGAGCCGGGGGUACCUGAAGUCCGUAACCGAAAGGAUCGGCCUAGGGUAAAACUGGUGACUGGGGCUAAGUCGUAACAAGGUAGCCGUACCGGAAGGUGCGGCUGGAACACCUCCUUU
rnacentral:rRNA from 1 species